rnacentral:rRNA from 1 species
AUUAAACGCUGGCGGCAUGCCUUACACAUGCAAGUCGAACGGCAGCACGGGGGCAACCCUGGUGGCGAGUGGCGGACGGGUGAGUAAAGCAUCGGAACGUAUCCUGGAGUGGGGGGAUAACGUAGCGAAAGUUACGCUAAUACCGCAUAUUCUGUGAGCAGGAAAGCAGGGGAUCGCAAGACCUUGCGCUCUGGGAGCGGCCGAUGUCGGAUUAGCUAGUUGGUGGGGUAAAGGCCUACCAAGGCGACGAUCCGUAGCGGGUCUGAGAGGAUGAUCCGCCACACUGGGACUGAGACACGGCCCAGACUCCUACGGGAGGCAGCAGUGGGGAAUUUUGGACAAUGGGCGGAAGCCUGAUCCAGCCAUGCCGCGUGAGUGAAGAAGGCCUUCGGUUGUAAGCCUUCGCCGGGAGAAGUACGUGCGGGCGAACGAGUCUGCAUGGAUGACGGUACCGGAAGAAGAAGCACCGGCUAACUACGUGCCAGCAGCCGCGGUAAU